rnacentral:lncRNA from 1 species
GUGUUUUUUAAGCUUGAAACCAAAUAAAUUACAAACUCCCUGAAGAAUUAUACACUUGAGCUCUUUUAGGUAACCUCUGGAUCCUCAGAACCUAUUUUAUGGCUUUGGAAGCUGUUAAAACAAGUCAUCAAGUAGAAAAAAGAAAAAAAAAUGUGUUGGGAAAACCAUCUGUGAGUGACAGACUAUAGGUGACACUUGCAGUAAGGUAGAAAAGUAGGUAUCUUGAAAAUAGUGUGAUGUGGCAAAUUUAAUAAUGUCCUGCUGCCUUUUGAAUACAUGAAUGCAAGAAACAGGGAUAGUUGGUGAAUGAUUCACAGAGUCUCUAUCACAAAGGACAGGAGUGCAAAUGUGUUUCCUCCUGAGCUUAGGUGAGUUCAGAGAAAAAUGAAGGUGACUCGCUGGGUGAAGUAUCAGGGAAGGAAGAAAAUCAGGAACGUUCUAUCAGAAAAAGAACAUCAGGGACGUUCUGUCAGAGAAGGAAGGUCUCAAAUGCAACUCACAUUUUCAGAUAUCAUUGAGGGGGGAAGAAAAUUCCAAAAUUUAGGGCUUUAAUGGCAGAGAGCAUUUUGAGCUAAAGUAUAUUAGCUAGUAGGUAAUAGAAGGGAAUUAAAUGGGCAGUGUUCAUCUUGGAGAAAGAGUAGGUGAUGUGGUUUCGUGGCUGUGUCUGGAAAAGCAAACUUUCAUGACAUGGGCUACCUGAGAAAGUAGCCUUAGGUGGUGGUGACAGAAGUGUUCACUUGUACCC